rnacentral:rRNA from 1 species
UUUUAAAUUGAGAGUUUGAUCCUGGCUCAGGACGAACGCUGGCGGCGUGCCUAACACAUGCAAGUCGAGCGAUGAAGCCCUUCGGGGUGAAUUAGCGGCGGACGGGUGAGUAACACGUGGGUAACCUGCCUUAUAGAGGGGGAUAGCCUUCCGAAAGGAAGAUUAAUACCGCAUGAAAUGUUUUUAUCGCAUGGUAGAAACAUCAAAGGAGUAAUCCGCUAUAAGAUGGACCCGCGGCGCAUUAGCUAGUUGGUGAGGUAACGGCCCACCAAGGCGACGAUGCGUAGCCGACCUGAGAGGGUGAUCGGCCACAUUGGAACUGAGACACGGUCCAGACUCCUACGGGAGGCAGCAGUGGGGAAUAUUGCGCAAUGGGGGAAACCCUGACGCAGCAACGCCGCGUGAAUGAAGAAGGCCUUAGGGUUGUAAAGUUCUGUUUUCUGGGACGAUAAUGACGGUACCAGAGGAGGAAGCCACGGCUAACUACGUGCCAGCAGCCGCGGUAAUACGUAGGUGGCAAGCGUUGUCCGGAUUUACUGGGCGUAAAGGAUGCGUAGGCGGAUGUUUAAGUGAGAUGUGAAAUACCC